CUUGAAUAAAUAUAAGAGGUCCAGCCUGCCCAGUGACCAUGUUCAACGGCCGCGGUAUCCUAACCGUGCGAAGGUAGCGUAAUCACUUGUUCUUUAAAUAAGGACUAGUAUGAACGGCACCACGAAGGUUACACUGUCUCCUAUUUCUAAUCAGUGAAACUAAUCCCCCCGUGAAGAAGCGGGGAUGAGCAUAUAAGACGAGAAGACCCUAUGGAGCUUCAAACUAUAGAGCACUUGCCAUAAUAAUAACCUAAUUCCAGAAAACUACCACCACCCAGGCAAGAUGACCCUUAGUUUUAGGUUGGGGUGACCGCGGAGCAAAAAACAACCUCCACAUUGAAAAGAGACAACUCUUUAGCCAAGAGCUACAACUCUAAGCACCAACAAAAAGACAUUAAUUGACCCAAUAUUUUGAUCAACGAAC
rnacentral:rRNA from 1 species